UUGGGAGGUGAUUUUAUGACCCACAAGGUUUAGGUCUGAUUUGAAUAGAAUUUUUUUACAGACUGUGUUGUGAGCAGGUUCAAUGAGCGAGGACAGAAGAAUGAUGAAAAAUAAACCAUUGAGAGACUCUAUUUUCUACAGUGUGUGUACUGCAUGCCACCGUCAUACCGUCUGGUCCGGCCUAUACAUAAUUUGUAGAGUUGAUCAUUUUGGCGCGUCUAUUGGCAGACAGAAACCUUCCUGGAGGAAAUCAUGGUCUCCACAUCAGUCGUUAUGUUACUGGCAGCUUCUGCCCUCUUGGUUGGGGUGUUCAGCAAAGAUGUAGCGCCCCCAUCCCCUAAGUACUGCGGGGAAGAUUUCCUCAAAAUUAUCAUCAAAGUAUGUUCUGGACGGACGCACGGCGCGACAAAGACCUUCACACCACAGGAUUUGGUAUCGGAAGAUGGCAUUAUGGAGGCAUGUUGCAAGAAAGGCUGCACUGAGAGGGACAUCCGAGCUUCCGGUAUUUGCUCCAUGGAUUCUUUGAUGAACCAGAGAGACGAACUCUAAAACCACUUUGCCACCCCCACCCCCCCCCCCGCCCACAGCAACCCUAGACUUGAUGACACGUCGUUAGCGCUGCCUGUUACAAACACACACUCUCAGUGCGAUUAUCGUUCAUGCAACGGUCGUAGGUAUAGCGCGUGGCAGUAGCCGACAUACUGGGAUCGAGGAUGUGUGUACCGUUCCCGUAACUAAAAGCUCAACAAUUACCGGCUUGAUUUCAAGACUACAGAAACCCCGGCUUGCUAUGUAUGAGAAAGCCACGAGUUCCUAUAACUCAAUAUUGGCAUUGGUUUUUUGUGGACAACGAACUCGUAUUACACUCUCCUGACGAUUUCUAGAGCAAGCUUUAGGGUGCGUUCAGACACGGUACUAAAGUUGGUUGAACUCAUGGUUCAACUCGACUGAGUUCAACUCAGUGUGUCUGAACGGAUCUAAAGUUAGUCCGAAUUGAGUUCAACCCCCAAAAGAUAAAGCGUCCAGGGAGGGGGUUUAUCUUUAGACCGCUCCGGUUUUAUCUUUUAACACUGUGUGUGGACAGAAUAAAAAA